ACCGGCAAGGAUGACGCGCACUUGCCCUCACUUAGACCGUAGUUCUUUGAUGAGAGCACUCGAUUGUUCUGAGCCGGA
ensembl:snoRNA